rnacentral:rRNA from 1 species
AACGAGAUUCCCACUGUCCCUAACUACUAUCUAGCGAAACCACAGCCAAGGGAACGGGCUUGGCAAAAUCAGCGGGGAAAGAAGACCCUGUUGAGCUUGACUCUAGUCUGACUUUGUGAAGAGACAUGAGAGGUGUAGCAUAAGUGGGAGCUGAGGGAUCAAUCUUGGCUGUUACUUCGGUGGCAGUUAAGACCCCUUAGCUACAGUGAAAUACCACUACUCUCAUAGUUUCUUUACUUACACGGUUAAAGGGAAGUUGGGAUAGUGUCUCUCUCACUUGGGUUUACCUCAGGGUUCGGGAAGGCCUCCUAUCCUUAAAUUCUAGAGCAAAGUGUGGGUACUUUCAUCAAUGCUCAAGACCCUAUGACUUGUCUUGUUCUUCACGGGACUUGAUGGGACAUAGACUUGAGUUUGAAAGGUAACGUGGGUGUACCGUAAAGAAACUUGUUUCUGGUGCAUACUACAAUCUGCAUGAUCCUCACCGUGGACAUUGUCAGGCGGGGAGUUUGACUGGGGCGGUACAUCUGUCAAAAGGUAACGCAGGUGUCCUAAGGC